GACGAACGCUGGCGGCGUGCUUAACACAUGCAAGUCGAGCGGUAAGGCCCUUUCGGGGGUACACGAGCGGCGAACGGGUGAGUAACACGUGGGUGACCUGCCCUUAGCUCUGGGAUAAGCCUGGGAAACUGGGUCUAAUACCGGAUAUGACCUCAUGACUCAUGUUGUGGGGUGGAAAGCCUUGUGCGGCUAGGGAUGGGCCCGCGGCCUAUCAGCUUGUUGGCGGGGUAAUUGCCUACCAAGGCGACGACGGGUAGCCGGCCUGAGAGGGCGACCGGCCGCACUGGGACUGAGACACGGCCCAGACUCCUACGGGAGGCAGCAGUGGGGAAUCUUGCGCAAUGGGCGAAAGCCUGACGCAGCGACGCCGCGUGAGGGAUGACGGCCUCGGUU
rnacentral:rRNA from 1 species